rnacentral:rRNA from 1 species
AAAAAGUAAAAGUCGUAACAAGGUUUCCGUAGGUGAACCUGCGGAAGGAUCAUUAAAGAAUAAUUCUUGAUCCGACCAAAGAAAGGAGGGAGAGUUGUAGCUGGCCCUAGGCACGUGCACGCUUUCUUUCUGGACUUUGGUCGUAUGGGCGCGGAGGGUCAACCUCUGCGUCUUCAUAUGCCCCUCUUCGUGUAGAAAGUCUUUGAAUGUUUUUACUAUCAUCGAGUCGCGACUUCUAGGAGAUGCGAUUCUUUGAGACAAAAGUUAUUACAACUUUCAGCAAUGGAUCUCUUGGCUCUCGCAUCGAUGAAGAACGCAGCGAAUAGCGAUAUGUAAUGUGAAUUGCAGAUCUACAGUGAAUCAUCGAAUCUUUGAACGCACCUUGCGCUCCUCGGUGUUCCGAGGAGCAUGCCUGUUUGAGCGUCAGUAAAUUCUCAACUCCUCUCGAUUGACUUCGAGUGGAGCUUGGAUAGUGGGGGCUGCCGGAGACCUGAAUAUUCGUGUUCGGGACUCGGGCUCCUCUGAAAUGUAUUGGCUUGCGGUCUGUUUUCGACUUUGCAUGACAAGGCUUUUGGCGUGAUAAUGAUCGCCGCUCGCCGAAGUGCAUGAAUGAAACCGUGCCGUGCCUCUAAUCCGUCGAUGCCUCUAUGGGGCGUCUUCUUUACGCAUUUGACCUCAAAUCAGGUAGGACUACCCGCUGAACUUAAGCUUAUAUUAUAGCGGGGGGAGAAA